UACGAAGGGUGCAAGCGUUACUCGGAAUUACUGGGCGUAAAGCGUGCGUAGGCGGUUUGUUAAGUCCGCUGUGAAAGCCCUGGGCUCAACCUGGGAAUUGCAGUGGAUACUGGCAAGCUAGAGUGCGGUAGAGGAUGGUGGAAUUCCCGGUGUAGCGGUGAAAUGCAUAGAUAUCGGGAGGAACACCAGUGGCGAAGGCGGUUACCUGGAGCUUUGCUGACGCUGAUGCGCGAAAGCGUGGGGAGCGAUCCGG
rnacentral:rRNA from 1 species